rnacentral:piRNA from 1 species
UAAACCAGCUGAUGUGGAAUUCCUGGGU